rnacentral:rRNA from 1 species
AUUGAACGCUGGCGGCGUGCUUUACACAUGCAAGUCGGACGAGUGGCGAACGGGUGAGUAACGCAUCGGAACGUACCGAGUAGUGGGGGAUAACUGUCCGAAAGGACAGCUAAUACCGCAUAUUAUUCGAGCGGCCGAUGUCUGAUUAGCUGGUUGGCGGGGUAAAGGCCCACCAAGGCGACGAUCAGUAGCGGGUCUGAGAGGAUGAUCCGCCAAACUGGAACGGAGACACGGCCCAGACCCCUCCGGGAGGCAGGAGGGGGGAAUUUUGGACAAGGGGCGCAAGCCGGAUCCAGCCAGGCGGGGUGUCUGAAGAAGGCCUUCGGGUUGGAAAGGACUUUUGUCAGGGAAGCGGUACCUGAAGAAUAAGCACCGGCUAACUACGUGCCAGCAGCCGGGGUAUUC